UUACGGCCAUAUCUCGUUAAAACAUCGGUUCCCGUACGAUCACUGAAGUUAAGCAAAGACGUUCCUGUCCAGUACCUACAUGGGUGACCGCUUGGGAAU